GCCGGGAUAGCUCAGUUGGUAGAGCAGGGGACUGAAAAUCCUCGUG
rnacentral:tRNA from 20 species